rnacentral:lncRNA from 1 species
UUACAAGAUAUGCACUCAAUUUUCACUCAGAUUUUCUAACUACACACCCUAUACUAGUUAUAUGUAAGAAGAUUGAUGUAGCUAUGAAAACUAACGCUCACAUAUAUGUAUCACAAAGAAAGCAAUUUCUGGAGUUAAUAAGCAUGUUUAGAUAUGAUCUCAUGAAUGGAAUGCUACUACUUAGAUGCGAGAACCAGUGACACCAUAUGCUUAUAUCAAUUUCAAACUCCACAUAUUGAAACGCAUGACACUCAAGAUGAAGUUAAGGGUUGUAACGAGGCUUGGGGUGAUGGCUAACAAAUGAAGGAUAAGGAUAACAAUCGUUCUUAAAGCAAUAGCAAGUAAAGUAA